AAUUAAUAAUGACUAGAUAAGAAAAGAACAGAAAAAGAAGGGUUUCUUUUCUCCCUGUCAUACUGGGUGCAUAAUAUGCCGAGGACGAAAAAAGAAGGGUUUCUUUUUUCCUUGUCAUACUGGGUGCAUAAUAUGCCGAGGAUGAAAAAAAAGGGUUUCUUUUUUCCUUCUCAUACCAAAAUAUGAACCCAUUUUCAUUUUUUUUCUGGUGCUUCAACCUUGCACAAUUUUACCUAUAAAAACUUCUCAGUUUACGAGUAAAAAGUAUCGAAGCCUUCGUCUCAAGUUUUCUCAGUGAAUUCACCUAUUUCUUCUUAACCUAAUAAGCACCGAAAAGAAAUGGCAUUUCCUAAGAAUUCUUCAUCAUCAAGAUCUUCGUUGGGUUUCUCCGGCAAAAUUAACAUGGAGGGUGACGCCACAAUUCUGGUAUUGUUCCAGCUUGUCGAUGUCCUUUCUCUUUUUCUGUCCAAGCUCUUGUUUGAUUACAUCAAACGAAGAAACCGUGCCACUGUAGCUCCAAAUCAUCGUGCUGCAACCUCUGCUCCCACUGUCCCUGAAGAUCAUCUCCCUUCAUUUGUGGUCAAUGUCUCUCCUAAUUAUCAUGCUACCUCUGCCACUGUCGCUCCAAAUCAUAUUAAUGCCAUCUCUAUGGAGACCGACGCUACUUUACCACUAGAUUCGAAUGGUUGAUAUGUAUGAUCACUCGGGCGGGUGGUACGGUAGCUGCGGUCGCAGGAGUUUGAUGGUGUUUGGAAUAAAGUUGGGUGCUUAUGCUGCUACAAAGUGUUUUUUUCUUCGGUGAAUAGUAAUUAGGUUUUAUGUAAGACUUUGUGCUUCGUUCUAUGAUGUAAAAAUGGAAACUUAUUUUAUUUCUUUGGCUUUAAAUAUAAUUUAGGUGUUUUUGGUUUUAUUUGUGUUGUCAUCCUUAAUUUUGUUGACUGUUUUUCUUAUUAAAAUAUUGAUUAUUGUCUUAAUGAGCAUGGGUGCAUAGCCGACCAUUUUACAGGUUGGAUGUUUGGCACUUGGAAAUGGUAAUUCCUUUUUAUUUGUAAAA